UAGUCCACGCUGUAAACGAUGAGUACUAGCUGUUGGGCCUGGUGUAAAAGGUUUAGUGGCGCAGCUAACGCGUUAAGUACUCCGCCUGGGGACUACGGCCGCAAGGUUAAAACUCAAAGGAAUUGACGGGGACUCGCACAAGCGGUGGAGCAUGUGGUUUAAUUCGAUGCAACGCGAAGAACCUUACCUACCCCUGACAUCCUAGGAAGACGAAAGAGAUUUUGUUGUGCCUUCGGGAACUUAGAGACAGGUGCUGCAUGGCUGUCGUCAGCUCGUGUUGUGAGAUGUUGGGUUAAGUCCCGCAACGAGCGCAACCCUUAUGUUUAGUUGCCAUCAUUAAGUUGGGCACUCUAAAGAGACUGCCGCUGAUAAGGCGGAGGAAGGUGGGGACGACGUCAAGUCAUCAUGGCCCUUACGGGUAGGGCUACACACGUGCUACAAUGGGCAUUACAGAGGGCAGCUAAGGGGCGACCUGGAGCGAAACCCAGAAAGGUGUUCGUAGUCCGGAUUGAUCU
rnacentral:rRNA from 1 species